UACGUAUGGGGCAAGCGUUGUUCGGAGUUAUUGGGCGUAAAGGGCGUGUAGGCGGCCCGUCAAGUCUGGUGUGAAAUCGCAGGGCUCAACCCUGCGUAUGCGCUGGAAACUGACAGGCUUGAGUCCUGAGGGGGAAACUGGAAUUCCUGGUGUAGGAGUGAAAUCUGUAGAUAUCAGGAAGAACACCGGUGGCGAAGGCGAGUUUCUACUCAUGGACUGACGCUGAGGCGCGAAAGCGUGGGGAGCAAACAGG
rnacentral:rRNA from 1 species